CGCGGGGUGGAGCAGCCCGGUAGCUUGUCGGGCGCAUAACCCGAAGGUCGUGGGUUCAAAUCGCACCCCUGCAACCA
rnacentral:tRNA from 2 species